GUGUUGUCUGUUGUUUAAAUGUUAUCCUUUUUUUUCAAGUUGGGUGUUGUGGUUAGUAAAAUUGAGAAUGGAAAUAAGAAAUAUGUUAGAGACAACAACCAAAGAGCAGAUAAAAGCUGUUGUCUGUUUUAUUUUCUGACAUUUUUAAUCAUUCCUAUUAUCCAUUUAUGUAUUUUGUAGUCUGAAGGCUUACAGUAGAAAUGCAAUAUAAAAUUGAAUUUGGAAAUUCAUAUGUAUUAUUACUGAUAUAUAGACAGACUAUCCA
rnacentral:lncRNA from 1 species